UGCACAUGUUGAUGUGGUUGAUGUGUAAAAAAGCCAACUCAUACAAGGUUCUGGCUUCAUCUUUAUAAAAUAGUCCGGAAAUUUCAGAGAAAGAUGAAUCUGAUUUUCCAAGAGAGGACAGCUGUGGACUAUCUGGCACUGGAGACUAACAGGACAAAAUAAAGAAAACAAAAAAUCUGAAACUGGUCAAGAAAGAACAAGGAAGACUUGCCAAAGCAAGGCCGACUCUUCAGCAGUAUAAAGUUUUCAUCAAGUCAAAUAUAUUCACUUUAAAGUGACUGUGCUUUAUUCUGAUACCAUGUCCUUCCUAAUUUGGGGGGCACAGCUGGAGAAAAUUCACUGGCAAUGGAAUAUUUAAAAUUAGAGCUUGCUUAGUGUGCUGCUUCUGAUCACUACUUGAUCCCACUUCGUGCUUUCAUGUUAAUUGGCCCAAUUGGACUCUACAGUUGGAAGGUGAAAACUUACUAUUUCAACUUGAGUCACGUAUGUAUUCUUAUCAUAUACUUCUUAAAGGUACUAUUUUUUUUCUUCUGAUAGUCACCACACCAAGCACUUCCAGCCACCCUGCCACAGACUUCCUUUGUAAUCACUGUUGAAGGACAUGAUGUUUUUAUGACUUCCCGAAAUGAAAACCCUAUCUUGUUUUU
rnacentral:lncRNA from 1 species